GCAUUAGCUGUGAGUUAAGAUUACUAUAACGGACAAGUUAUAUGAUAUGAAUUCAUGAUUAAGGUGUUCAUACACAGUAAUAGUAUCGUGUCAAUACAAUAAUAGGAAUAUUUAUUUUAAUUAAUAUAUACAUAAUGUAUAUACUAAGGUGUAGUUUUUACUCCUUAUUAUAUUAUUUAUUAUAAUAUAAUUAAUUAUGAUCAACGGUUGAUCACAUAGACAUGAAUAAAUAAGAUAAUAAUAGAAUUUUUCUACUACCGGAAUAUUUAUUUUGAUUUUUCAUUAUUUUAUAUUCCCUUAUAUUUUAUAGUAAAUCUGUGUAGUCAAUACAAAACACUACGGCUGCGGGGUAGCUUUGAUUGGUAGAAUAUACCAUGGAAUUAUUUCCAAUCAAUAUAUAUAUUUCUUUAUUUGUAUAUUUAUUUUUAUAAAUUAAAUUUAUAUAUAUAUAUAUUGUCAUAUUCUUAU
rnacentral:rRNA from 1 species